UACAGAGGGGGCAAGCGUUAUUCGGAAUUAUUGGGCGUAAAGGGCGCGUAGGCGGCUUUUCAAGUGACGGGUGAAAUCCCUCGGCUUAACCGAGGAACUGCCUGUCAGACUGGAAGGCUUGAGACCGGGAGAGGUGAGUGGAAUUCCCAGUGUAGCGGUGAAAUGCGCAGAUAUCAGGAGGAACACCGGUGGCGAAGGCGCACAUCUGGCCCGAUACUGACGCUGAGGCGCGAAAGCUAGGGGAGCAAACGGG
rnacentral:rRNA from 1 species